UAAUACGGAGGGUGCAAGCGUUGUUCGGAUUUACUGGGCGUAAAGCGCGCGCAGGUGGGUGUACAAGUCGGAAGUGAAAUCUCCAGGCUCAACCUGGAGGCUGCUCCCGAAACUGUACGCCUAGGGACUGGUAGAGGCUGGUAGAAUUCCCGGUGUAGCGGUGGAAUGCGUAGAGAUCGGGAAGAAUACCCGUGGCGAAGGCGGCCAGCUGGGCCAGGUCCGACACUGAGGCGCGAAAGCGUGGGGAGCAAACAGGAUUAGAUACCCUGGUAGUCCACGCCGUAAACGAUGGGCACUAGGCGCUGGUGGGAGCGACCCCUUCAGUGCCGCAGCUAACGCGAUAAGUGCCCCGCCUGGGGAGUACGGCCGCAAGGCUG
rnacentral:rRNA from 1 species